rnacentral:rRNA from 1 species
GGUUAAGCGACUAAGCGUACACGGUGGAUGCCCUGGCAGUCAGAGGCGAUGAAGGACGUGCUAAUCUGCGAUAAGCGUCGGUAAGGUGAUAUGAACCGUUAUAACCGGCGAUUUCCGAAUGGGGAAACCCAGUGUGAUUCGACACACUAUCAUUAACUGAAUCCAUAGGUUAAUGAGGCGAACCGGGGGAACUGAAACAUCUAAGUACCCCGAGGAAAAGAAAUCAACCGAGAUUCCCCCAGUAGCGGCGAGCGAACGGGGAGGAGCCCAGAGCCUGAAUCAGUGUGUGUGUUAGUGGAAGCGUCUGGAAAGGCGCGCGAUACAGGGUGACAGCCCCGUACACAAAAAUGCACAUGCUGUGAGCUCGAUGAGUAGGGCGGGACACGUGGUAUCCUGUCUGAAUAUGGGGGGACCAUCCUCCAAGGCUAAAUACUCCUGACUGACCGAUAGUGAACCAGUACCGUGAGGGAAAGGCGAAAAGAACCCCGGCGAGGGGAGUGAAAAAGAACCUGAAACCGUGUACGUACAAGCAGUGGGAGCACGCUUAGGCGUGUGACUGCGUACCUUUUGUAUAAUGGGUCAGCGACUUAUAUUCUGUAGCAAGGUUAACCGAAUAGGGGAGCCGAAGGGAAACCGAGUCUUAACUGGGCGUUAAGUUGCAGGGUAUAGACCCGAAACCCGGUGAUCUAGCCAUGGGCAGGUUGAAGGUUGGGUAACACUAACUGGAGGACCGAACCGACUAAUGUUGAAAAAUUAGCGGAUGACUUGUGGCUGGGGGUGAAAGGCCAAUCAAACCGGGAGAUAGCUGGUUCUCCCCGAAAGCUAUUUAGGUAGCGCCUCGUGAAUUCAUCUCCGGGGGUAGAGCACUGUUUCGGCAAGGGGGUCAUCCCGACUUACCAACCCGAUGCAAACUGCGAAUACCGGAGAAUGUUAUCACGGGAGACACACGGCGGGUGCUAACGUCCGUCGUGAAGAGGGAAACAACCCAGACCGCCAGCUAAGGUCCCAAAGUCAUGGUUAAGUGGGAAACGAUGUGGGAAGGCCCAGACAGCCAGGAUGUUGGCUUAGAAGCAGCCAUCAUUUAAAGAAAGCGUAAUAGCUCACUGGUCGAGUCGGCCUGCGCGGAAGAUGUAACGGGGCUAAACCAUGCACCGAAGCUGCGGCAGCGACACUAUGUGUUGUUGGGUAGGGGAGCGUUCUGUAAGCCUGUGAAGGUGUGCUGUGAGGCAUGCUGGAGGUAUCAGAAGUGCGAAUGCUGACAUAAGUAACGAUAAAGCGGGUGAAAAGCCCGCUCGCCGGAAGACCAAGGGUUCCUGUCCAACGUUAAUCGGGGCAGGGUGAGUCGACCCCUAAGGCGAGGCCGAAAGGCGUAGUCGAUGGGAAACAGGUUAAUAUUCCUGUACUUGGUGUUACUGCGAAGGGGGGACGGAGAAGGCUAUGUUGGCCGGGCGACGGUUGUCCCGGUUUAAGCGUGUAGGCUGGUUUUCCAGGCAAAUCCGGAAAAUCAAGGCUGAGGCGUGAUGACGAGGCACUACGGUGCUGAAGCAACAAAUGCCCUGCUUCCAGGAAAAGCCUCUAAGCAUCAGGUAACAUCAAAUCGUACCCCAAACCGACACAGGUGGUCAGGUAGAGAAUACCAAGGCGCUUGAGAGAACUCGGGUGAAGGAACUAGGCAAAAUGGUGCCGUAACUUCGGGAGAAGGCACGCUGAUAUGUAGGUGAAGUCCCUCGCGGAUGGAGCUGAAAUCAGUCGAAGAUACCAGCUGGCUGCAACUGUUUAUUAAAAACACAGCACUGUGCAAACACGAAAGUGGACGUAUACGGUGUGACGCCUGCCCGGUGCCGGAAGGUUAAUUGAUGGGGUCAGCGCAAGCGAAGCUCUUGAUCGAAGCCCCGGUAAACGGCGGCCGUAACUAUAACGGUCCUAAGGUAGCGAAAUUCCUUGUCGGGUAAGUUCCGACCUGCACGAAUGGCGUAAUGAUGGCCAGGCUGUCUCCACCCGAGACUCAGUGAAAUUGAACUCGCUGUGAAGAUGCAGUGUACCCGCGGCAAGACGGAAAGACCCCGUGAACCUUUACUAUAGCUUGACACUGAACAUUGAGCCUUGAUGUGUAGGAUAGGUGGGAGGCUUUGAAGUGUGGACGCCAGUCUGCAUGGAGCCGACCUUGAAAUACCACCCUUUAAUGUUUGAUGUUCUAACGUGGACCCGUGAUCCGGGUUGCGGACAGUGUCUGGUGGGUAGUUUGACUGGGGCGGUCUCCUCCUAAAGAGUAACGGAGGAGCACGAAGGUUGGCUAAUCCUGGUCGGACAUCAGGAGGUUAGUGCAAUGGCAUAAGCCAGCUUGACUGCGAGCGUGACGGCGCGAGCAGGUGCGAAAGCAGGUCAUAGUGAUCCGGUGGUUCUGAAUGGAAGGGCCAUCGCUCAACGGAUAAAAGGUACUCCGGGGAUAACAGGCUGAUACCGCCCAAGAGUUCAUAUCGACGGCGGUGUUUGGCACCUCGAUGUCGGCUCAUCACAUCCUGGGGCUGAAGUAGGUCCCAAGGGUAUGGCUGUUCGCCAUUUAAAGUGGUACGCGAGCUGGGUUUAGAACGUCGUGAGACAGUUCGGUCCCUAUCUGCCGUGGGCGCUGGAGAAUUGAGGGGGGCUGCUCCUAGUACGAGAGGACCGGAGUGGACGCAUCACUGGUGUUCGGGUUGUCAUGCCAAUGGCACUGCCCGGUAGCUAAAUGCGGAAGAGAUAAGUGCUGAAAGCAUCUAAGCACGAAACUUGCCCCGAGAUGAGUUCUCCCUGACUCCUUGAGAGUCCUGAAGGAACGUUGAAGACGACGACGUUGAUAGGCCGGGUGUGUAAGCGCAGCGAUGCGUUGAGCUAACCGGUACUAAUGAACCGUGAGGCUUAACCUU